CUUAGUGGCGGACUGGUGAGUAACGCGUGAGGAACCUGCCUUCCAGAGGGGGACAACAGUUGGAAACAGGUGCUAAUACCGCAUAAGCGCACAGGGCCGCAUGGCCCGGUGUGAAAAACUCCGGUGGUGUAAGAUGGACCCGCGUCUGAUUAGCUUGUUGGCGGGGUAGAGGCCCACCAAGGCGACGAUCAGUAGCCGGCCUGAGAGGGUGGACGGCCACAUUGGGACUGAGACACGGCCCAAACUCCUACGGAAGGCAGCAG
rnacentral:rRNA from 1 species